rnacentral:misc_RNA from 1 species
GACAGGGGGCACGGGUGUUAUUCGUGCUGAUUGGGUGUAAAGGGUACGUAGGCGGUGCGUUAAUAGAUAAGACUCAAACGGCGGGGAGUUCCCAUGCAGGUUAGUAUUUUCGAAUUGACGCACUAGAGUUGAGGGUAGGUUGGGACAAUUCCCCGUGUAAUCGUCAAAAGUUGCCAGCCGGGGACGAAUGUUAGCGUGUGGAGACGUCUUUCUGAUCUCAACUGACGCUGAGGUACGUAAGCUUGGGGCGCAAACAGG